rnacentral:rRNA from 1 species
CGACUACAUUAGAUACCCCGGUAGUCCUAGCCGUAAACGAUACUCGCUAGGUGUCGGCCACGGUGCGACCGUUGUCGGUGCCGUAGGGAAGCCGUGAAGCGAGCCACCUGGGAAGUACGGCCGCAAGGCUGAAACUUAAAGGAAUUGGCGGGGGAGCACAACAACGGGUGGAGCUUGCGGUUUAAUUGGAUUCAACGCCGGAAAUCUUACCGGGACCGACAGCAACAUGAAGGCCAAGCUGAAGGCUUUGCCGGAUUAGCUG